CUCUUAAUUGUGGUGUCAGCUU
rnacentral:piRNA from 1 species